rnacentral:rRNA from 1 species
GAUCAUGGCUCAGGAUGAACGCUAGCGGCAGGCCUAACACAUGCAAGUCGAGGGGCAUCGGGAUUGAAGCUUGCUUCAAUUGCCGGGCGACCGGCGCACGGGUGCGUAACGCGUAUGUAACCUACCUAUAACAGGGGCAUAACACUGAGAAAUUGGUACUAAUUCCCCAUAAUAUUCGGAGAGGCACCUCUCCGGGUUGAAAACUCCGGUGGUUAUAGAUGGACAUGCGUUAGUAUUAGCUAGUUGG